rnacentral:rRNA from 1 species
CCUACGGGUGGCAGCAGUGGGGAAUAUUGGACAAUGGGCGAAAGCCUGAUCCAGCCAUGCCGCGUGUGUGAAGAAGGCCUUCGGGUUGUAAAGCACUUUCAGUGGGGAAGAAAGCCUUGGGGCUAAUACCCUCGAGGAAGGACAUCACCCACAGAAGAAGCACCGGCUAACUCCGUGCCAGCAGCCGCGGUAAUACGGAGGGUGCGAGCGUUAAUCGGAAUUACUGGGCGGAAAGCGCGCGUAGGCGGUCUGAUAAGCCGGUUGUGAAAGCCCCGGGCUCAACCUGGGAACGGCAUCCGGAACUGUCAGGCUAGAGUGCAGGAGAGGAAGGUAGAAUUCCCGGUGUAGCGGUGAAAUGCGUAGAGAUCGGGAGGAAUACCAGUGGCGAAGGCGGCCUUCUGGACUGACACUGACGCUGAGGUGCGAAAGCGUGGGUAGCAAACAGGAUUAGAUACCCUGGUAGUC